rnacentral:rRNA from 1 species
AGGGUUUGAUUAUGGCUCAGGAUGAACGCUGGCGGCGUGCUUAACACAUGCAAGUCGAACGAAGCACUUUACUUGAUCUCCUUCGGGAUUGAUUGUUCUGUGACUGAGUGGCGGACGGGUGAGUAACGCGUGGAUAACCUGCCUCACACAGGGGGAUAACAGUUGGAAACGGCUGCUAAUACCGCAUAAGCGCACAGCACCGCAUGGUGCAGUGUGAAAAACUCCGGUGGUGUGAGAUGGAUCCGCGUCUGAUUAGCUGGUUGGCGGGGUAACGGCCCACCAAGGCGACGAUCAGUAGCCGGCCUGAGAGGGCGACCGGCCACAUUGGGACUGAGACACGGCCCAG